rnacentral:rRNA from 1 species
CCUUGCCAGCCCGCUCAGAAACUUAAUGAAUUGACGGGGCCCGCACAAGCGGAGGAGCAUGUGGUUUAAUUCGAUGAUACGCGAGGAACCUUACCUGGGCUCGAACGUAAGAUGACUGUAGGUGAAAGCUUACAUCUCUUCGGAGCAUUUUACGAGGUGCUGCAUGGUUGUCGUCAGCUCGUGCCGUGAGGUGUCGGGUUAAGUCCCAUAACGAGCGCAACCCCUACCUUUAGUUGCCAUCAGGUAAUGCUGGGGACUCUAAAGGAACUGCCUACGCAAGUAGUGAGGAAGGCGGGGAUGACGUCAAAUCAGCACGGCCCUUACGUCCAGGGCUACACACGUGCUACAAUGGCCGAUACAGAGGGCAGCUACCUGGUGACAGGAUGCAAAUCUCCAAAGUCGGUCUCAGUUCGGAUCGGAGUCUGCAACCCGACUCCGUGAAGUUGGAUUCGCUAGUAAUCGCGCAUCAGCCAUGGCGCGGUGAAUACGUUCCCGGGCCUU